UGGGGAAUAUUGGACAAUGGGCGAAAGCCUGAUCCAGCCAUGCCGCGUGUGUGAAGAAGGUCUUCGGAUUGUAAAGCACUUUAAGUUGGGAGGAAGGGCAUUAACCUAAUACGUUAGUGUUUUGACGUUACCGACAGAAUAAGCACCGGCUAACUCUGUGCCAGCAGCCGCGGUAAUACAGAGGGUGCAAGCGUUAAUCGGAUUUACUGGGCGUAAAGCGCGCGUAGGUGGCCAAUUAAGUCAAAUGUGAAAUCCCCGAGCUUAACUUGGGAAUUGCAUUCGAUACUGGUUGGCUAGAGUAUGGGAGAGGAUGGUAGAAUUCCAGGUGUAGCGGUGAAAUGCGUAGAGAUCUGGAGGAAUACCGAUGGCGAAGGCAGCCAUCUGGCCUAAUACUGACACUGAGGUGCGAAAGCAUGGGGAGCAAACAGGAUUAGAUACCCUGGUAGUCCAUGCCGUAAACGAUGUCUACUAGCCGUUGGGGCCUUUGAGGCUUUAGUGGCGCAGCUAACGCGAUAAGUAGACCGCCUGGGGAGUACGGCCGCAAGGUUA
rnacentral:rRNA from 1 species